GAUGAACGCUGGCGGCGUGCCUAAUACAUGCAAGUCGAGGGAACAGACGAGGAGCUUGCUCAUCUGACGUUGGCGACGGACGGGUGAGUAACUAGUGCAUAACCAACCUAUAAGACUGGACUAACUAAGGGAAACCGAGUCUAAUAACGGACAAUAUAUUUACCUUCAUGGUUCACGAGUGAAAGGCGGUUUUGGUCGCACUUGUAGGUGGAUCCGCGCCGGAUUAGCUAGUGGGUGAGGUAACGGCUUACCAAGGCGACGAUGCGUAGCCGACCUGAGAGGGAGAGCGGCCACACUGGAACUGAGACACGGUCCAGACUCCUACGGGAGGCAGCAGUAGGGUAUCGUCCGCAAGGGGAGAAAGCCUGACGGUGCAACGCCGCGGGAGCGAUGAAGGUCUCCGGAUUGUAAAUCUCUGUUAUUAGUGAAGAACAAAUAUGUAAGUAACUAUGCACGUCUUGACGGUAACUAAACAGAAAGCCACGGCUAACUACGUG
rnacentral:rRNA from 1 species